rnacentral:lncRNA from 1 species
UUUGUCUCCCUUCUCUCUAGAACUUUUCGAUUCUCUCUUCUUCUCCGAUGAACCCCACCACCUCUCCGGCCACCUCAAACCUCACCUCCUUCGACGACCAGUAGCUGUGAAGCCUUACCUCGUUGAUUCCCUCUAUCUUUGACUCCCCAGGAGCCUCCACCAUGCCAGAUGGUCUUGAAAGCUUUGCCCGGUUUGUCUCCGGCCUUUCUCCGAUGGCUUUUUGUCCGAUAGUUCUAUGAACACCAUUAUUGUUGAGUUUUACGGCCAGGUUUCUCUCACUUCUCACCGUUUUCUUAUGAAAACCUAAUCUCUACCCAACCUCCUAAAUCUCUGUAGUUUUUACGAUUUUUUAACUCAUACCUUUGUAUUUUACACUAGUCUCUACUCGAUCUUUACGAUUGUUCAAAUUUUAAACGUUUUGUUCCCCUUUUUUGAAACUAGGGUUUCUGAACCCCUUUCCAAAAUCACUCUUUUUCUGAUUUUUGAGUAUCAACUUGUGAUUCUCAAUACUACUUAUAAACGUUUUUCUUAAGUUUGAUGAAACCCUAAAUUCUUAUGAUUGUGUUUGCAUAUUUGCGUGUUUGUAUGUUCUUCUGGGUUCUUCUCCGAGUUUCGUGCUCUUUGUUUUAAUUUUGUUGUUAGUAUUUCAUUCCCCUACCAUUCUGUGUUCUUCUCUUAAAGCUUAUCUAGUGCUUACACGAUGAUUUUAUACUGUUUAUCUGAGCCCUCUUUAAGACCGUGAUACUUGCUUUGAAAUUGUGAUUCUACAUAUUUUCCCUAUAGUUUGAAUUACAUUCUUAAAUUGUGGGAUACUUUCCUCAAUAAAUACUGAUUUCCUAGGUCUUCAAUCUUGUUCAUUAUUUUAAUAAUUAUUUCCCUAAAUUACAGUGGUAUUUUUCCCUAUAUAUGUGCACAAAUGUUUUGAUUGGUUUGCCUAACAUAUUUCCCUAAUUAGAGUGCCAUGUACCUAGUCUUUAUUGAUAUCAUAUGUUACUAUGUUUUCUUAUGUGAUUAUACCCUACUUUAUGAAUUCUUUCCUUUUAAAUGACUGAUUUUUACCAUUUGAUUUGGAUUCCUUAAUUAAAGGAAAGUCCAUAUACUAAUUUGAUUGUGAUUGAUGUCAAUUCCUUAAUUAAAUGACUGCUGCCUUAUUGUUCACUCGUAUACAGUACUAUAAAAACCCCCAUUCUCUUUUGCAAACACAAAACAGUCUUCUGUCUUACACAUACCACUGAAUACUUUAUAAUUCUCUCUUGCUCUCUUGCUCUUUUGGUCUAUUACUGUUCUCUGCUCCUGCUCAUUAUCAACCGGCUGAAAGCCAAGACCAAUAUAGUGUUACUACUUUGUCUUUGCAUCUUGCUUUUGCUCUUUUAUUGGUAUGUCCUCUAUUUGAUUUACAAUUUCGAAAAUAACAUGUUUUUAUGUGUAUUGCACUUCCUCUUGUUUCUUUUAUGCUUCUAUCUAUGGUUCUGUUGUUCUUAUUGCAAUUAGAAUGCCUCUGUGUAAGUUUAUUGAUGUGACUAUCUUUCCUUUAAUUCAAAAUGCCUACUGCUUCCCUUAUUUGUUUAAUGCAUGUUCUUCCCUACCACUAACCCCAGUUCAUUGUCAACAUUUAUUCCUUGACCAUUCAGGAUGAAAUAUGUUGUUACUGUUUAAGUUCUGAAAUGCUUUUCUCUGAUGUCUAUGUAUGUGUGAUUCUGCACUUACAUGUGGACUACUUGUCCCAAUGUCCCAUGUCCCAUGUUUGUGUUUUUUCCCCUGAACUAUGCAUUAUAUUCUAGUUCUGAGAUUGUCUUAGCCACCUUCUUACAAGAACUAUCACACUCUUCUAUUGUUUUCUUACAAGAACUGAUUCUAUAUGGAUCAAUUUUCUUAAAACUGUUUUCUUUUCUCAACUCAAUUUCUUUAAAACUAUAUCACACACUCUCACUACUCUUAGAAAAAUAGGUUAUGCCCCCUUUCAUGUAAACAUUGCUUUGGGUAUCUCUGAAUAGCCAUUGAACAUUGAUGAACAAGGCUGGUAAUUUCACACUGCACGUGUUCAACAUUCUUGAUAAAUGUUUCGGUAUUGGUAUUGACCAGGGAUCCAAUGGGGCCCUAGGGAGCGUUUCCGCACCCAGACCAUAGUUGUGAAGCUCGAAAGAUGUGAGAUUGGAAGAUUGGGCCUGGUUGAAGGCUCCCUAUAGAGUAACUUCUUAUUUUAUUCUUUACUAAUUUAAUUCAGCUAUCAUGGUUUGUAAUAACUUGAAAACAACUAAUUGGGGUUAUAAUGAAAUUGGGAGGGGGUAGAAAAUAUGCUUAUAGGACUUUACUUACUUAUUUGUGCAUUUGAUAUCCUGUAUAGGACAUGAAUCUCAUACAAUUAGCGAUCCUGUUUUAGGCUCUUUACUUUCCACCUGUUAUCAUAUUCAUUUUUUAAUUAUGAUCUAUUAAUAACCAACAAGUAAUUGUCAUAAAACUACUGCUGCAUUUUUAC